GAGGCUGUAAGUUCAGUGGUAGAGCCCGUGUUUAGCAUGCAUGAGGUCCUGGGUUCAAUCCCCAGUACCUCCA
rfam:Camelus ferus unplaced genomic scaffold scaffold92648, whole genome shotgun sequence.